GGACCCGCACAAGCGGUGGAGCAUGUGGUUUAAUUCGAUGCAACGCGAAAAACCUUACCUACUCUUGACAUCCUUGGAAUCUCUUGUAAUGAGAGAGUGCCUUUUGGAACCAAGUGACAGGUGCUGCAUGGCUGUCGUCAGCUCGUGUCGUGAGAUGUUCCGUUAAGUCGGAUAACGAGCGCAACCCUUACCCUUAUUUGCCAGCGGUUCGGCCGGGAACUAUAAGGGGACUGCCGGUGAUAAACCGGAGGAAGGUGAGGACGACGUCAAGUCAUCAUGGCCCUUACGAGUAGGGCUACACACGUGCUACAAUGGGAAGUACAGAGGGACGCCAAAGCGCGAGCUGGAGCUAAUCUCAUAAAACUUUUCGUAGUCCGGAUUGCAGUCUGCAACUCGACUGCAUGAAGUCGGAAUCGCUAGUAAUCG
rnacentral:rRNA from 1 species